GGCCUGGUGGUGUAGUGGUAACAUGUCUCUCCGAUUUAUAUGCACCACAGUAAAAUGUAUAGGAGGAAUUACCCUGUUCGAUUCGGGGCCAGGCCA